GUACCAAUGUGAGAUUUCUAAAGAUAGCUACAGCACGUGACAAAAGGUUUAAGAAUCUGAAGUGCCUUCCAAAAUCUGAGAGGGAGGAGGUGUGGAGCAUGCUUUCAGAAGAGUUAAGACAGCAACUCUCCGAUGCAGAAAUUUCAGAACCCGAACCACCAAAAAAGAAAAUCAAUCUUCUACUGGUGGCAUCUGACUCAGAUAAUGAAAAUGAAUAUGUGUCAGUCUACA